rnacentral:ribozyme from 13 species
GACCAAUCCCACUCAAACUUUUCAUUUUCAUUUUCCAUCUCUUUCACAAACCCAUUUUCUUUUUCUCUUUCUUUUUCUUUUUCUCUUUCUUGUAAAAGAGAGGACAUUGGAAGAACGAUGGUUCCUUUUGAUAAAUCACUUGUGAAUCCUCUCCCUGAAUUGCAACUGACCAUUUCUAGAUCCUCGGAUCUCCAAUUAUCAUUAACAUCAAGACGAGAAGUAACAAGAAU